rnacentral:rRNA from 1 species
AAGCUCGUAGUUGAAUUUCGGUGCCCCGCUGAGUGGUCUUGCCGACAGGUAAGCACUGCUCCGGCGUGGACCUUUCUUCUGGGAGGCUGGCGUGCUCUUCACUGGGUGCGCCAGACGACCAGGACUUUUACUUUGAAAAAAUUAGAGUGUUUAAAGCAGGCCUACCCGCUUGAAUACAUUAGCAUGGAAUAAUAGAAUAGGACUUUGGUCCCGUUUGUUGGUUUGAGGACUAAGGUAAUGAUUAAUAGGGAUAGUUGGG